rnacentral:rRNA from 1 species
GUUUGAUCCCUGGCUCAGAUUGAACGCUGGCAGGAUGCUUUACACAUGCAAGUCGAACGGCGACACGGACUUCGGUCCUGGUGGCGAGUGGCGAACAGGUGAGUAAUGUAUCGGAACGUGCCUAGUAGCGGGGGAUAACUACGCGAAAGCGUAAUAAUACCACAUACGCCCUUCAAGGGAAAGCAGAGACCUUCGGGCCUCGCAUAUUAAACAGCCGAUAUCGGAUUAGCUAGUUGGUGGGGUAACGGCUCACCAAGGCGACGAUCCGUAGCUGGUUUUAAGAGGACGACCAGCCACCUGGGACUGAGACAGCCCAGACUCCUACGGGAGGCAGCAGUGGGGAAUUUUUGGACAAUGGGAAACCUGAUCCAGCCAUCCCGCGUGUGCGAUGAGAGCCUUUGGAUUUGUAAAGCACUUUUGGCAGGAAGAAACGGCACGGGGGAUAAUACCCCGUGCAACUGACGGUACCUGCAGAAUAAGCGCAACUACAACUACGUGCCAGCAGCCGCGGUACGUAGGGUACAAGCGUUAAUCAGAGUCACUGGGCGUAAAGCGUGCGCAGGCGGUUCGGAAGAAGAUGUGAAAUCCCAGAGCUUAACUUUGGAACUGCAUUUUUAACUACCGAGCUAGAGUGUGUCAGAGGAGGUGGAAUUCCCGCGUGUGGCAGUGAAAUGCGUAGAUAUGCGGAGAACACCGAUGGCGAAGGCAGCCUCUGGGAUAACACUGACGCUCAUGCACGAAAGCGUGGGGGCAAACAGGAUUUAGAUACCCUGGUAGUCCACGCCCUAAACGAUGUCAACUGACUGUUGGGGCCUUCCGGGCCUUGGUAGCGCAGCUAACGCGUGAAGUUGACCGCCUGAGAAUUACGGUCGCAAGAUUAAAACUCAAAGGAAUUGACGGGGACCCGCACAAGCGGUGGAUGAUGUGGAUUAAUUCGAUGCAACGCGAAAAACCUUACCUACCCUUGACAUGUCUGGAAUCCCGAAGAGAUUUGGGAGUGCUCGCAAGAGAACCGGAACACAGGUGCUGCAUGGCUGUCGUCAGCUCGUGUCGUGAGAUGUUGGGUUAAGUCCCGCAACGAGCGCAACCCCUUGUCAUUAGUUGCUACGAAAGAGCGCUCUAAUGAGACUGCCGGUGACAAACCGGAGGAAGGUGGGGAUGACGUCAAGUCCUCAUGGCCCUUAUGGGUAGGGCUUCCACACGUCAUACAAUGGUGGGACGAAGAUGUAACGCGAGGGAGCCAAUCCCAGAAACCCGAUCGUAGUCCGGAUCGCAGUCUGCAACUCGACUGCGUGAAGUCGGAAUCGCUAGUAAUCGCGGAUCAGCAUGUCGCGAGUGAAUACGUUCGGGUCUUGUACACACCGCCCGUCACACCAUGGGAGUGGGUUUUACCAAGUAGUUAGCCUAACCGUAAGGAGAGGCGAUUACCACGGUAAAGUUCGCGGCUAGGGUGAAGUCGUAACAAGGUAG